rnacentral:rRNA from 1 species
UACAUGGGGUGCAAACGUUGCUCGGAAUCAUUGGGCGUAAAGCGCGCGUAGGCGGUUACUUAAGUUGGAUGUGAAAGCCCUCGGCUUAACCGAGGAAGUGCAUCCAAAACUGAGUAGCUAGAGUACGAAAGAGGGUCGCGGAAUUCCCGGUGUAGAGGUGAAAUUCGUAGAUAUCGGGAGGAACACCGGUGGCGAAGGCGGCGACCUGGGUCGAGACUGACGCUGAGGCGCGAGGCGUGGGAGCGAACGGGAUUGAGA